rnacentral:tRNA from 1 species
UAUAAAGUGCCUGAAUAAAGGAUUAAUCUGAUAGGUUAAAUUAUGUAUAUAAAUAUACCUUUAUAA